rnacentral:rRNA from 1 species
CCUACGGGCGGCAGCAGUGAGGAAUAUUGGUCAAUGGGUGCUAGCCUGAACCAGCCAAGUAGCGUGAAGGAUGACUGCCCUAUGGGUUGUAAACUUCUUUUACAUGGGAAUAAAGUGCAGUAUGUAUACUGCUUUGCAUGUACCUUAUGAAUAAGGAACGGCUAAAUACGUGCCAGCAGCCGCGGUAAUACGGAGGAUCCGAGCGUUAUCCGGAUUUAUUGGGUUUAAAGGGAGCGUAGGCGGGUUGUUAAGUCAGUUGUGAAAGUUGGGGGCUCAACCGUGAAAUGGCAGUUGAUACUGGCAUCCUUGAGUGCAGUAGAGGUAGGCGGAAUUCGUGGUGUAGCGGUGAAAUGCGUAGAUAUCACGAGGAACUCCGAUUGCGAAGGCAGCCUGCUGGACUGUAACUGACGCUGAUGCUCGAAAGUGUGGGUAUCAAACAGGAUUAGAUACCCCUGUAGUC